rnacentral:lncRNA from 1 species
GCGGAUAAGGAAGACGCGCCGUAAAUUGAAUCUUCUAAAUGAGUGGGUUUUCUUUUUCCACCUCGAGAGGAUUAUACUAAUUCAAAGAGUAAAAGAGAUUGAUGAAGCAGAGACUCAAAAGAAAGCAGGAAACAGAAAACAGACAUAUAUAUAAUCCCAGAUCAAAAACUCAUCAGAACUCAAUUCGGAGCUACUUUGAAAAAAAAAAAAAACUCUCACACAAGUCAUCAGAAGAAAAUGGAGCAACCAAAGCUGGAAACAGAGGGGAAGAGAAGAGUAAGGAGUCAUUGAUUACCUGAGGAGUGCUCAAUAGCACUUCGAAGUCAUUCCC